rnacentral:lncRNA from 1 species
UGAUGGUUGUUCCGGUACAACCAUCACGGCUGUACCGGUACAAGCCCUGUUCCGGAACAAGCUGCAGCCUAUCCAGGGUACAGAAGCUUCGCAGAAAAAUCUUCCGUCAUGCUGUACCCUGGACAGCUUUCCUUGUUCCGGUACAAGGUGCUGAUUUUGGAAAGAAACUUUCUAAUCCUACUCCGUUUUGAUUCUAAAGUCUAUAAAUAAGCUAUUGGGGUUCUCUAACUGAUCAAGCAUCACGAAAAUACAUGUUUGAGAAACCCUAGAGGCUCGGAUUUCAUUUUAAACCUAUUUUCUACAAAUUAGCCUCUUUAGAUCAAAUCGAGAUAACGUUUUGCAUUCGCUAUAUGUCGAUUUGAUCUAGUCUUCGCUUGGAGUUCUAUUCCCUGGUUUUCUACGAUACUCCUAAGCGACGGAUCACCAUAAUCAUGAUGCUCUUCAUGAACGGCGUCGUGGAUUCGGCGUGAACAAAGGCGGUUCGUGGAUUCAGAUCGUUGGCUCGUGGAUUCGAGUGGCGUCGUGAAUUCGGCGUGAUUGAAGCUUCGUGGAUUCGAAGUGGAGGCGUUCGUGGAUUCAAACGUGAGGGCGUGGAUAACCCGGAGGGUAGCGCGAAGAUUCAUAAGAGGUUAAGAAAGGUUGAGUCCGUGGAGUCGGUAAUCACAUUGUAAUCUUUUCUCUUAGUGAAUUAUUUUUUCGCGUGUUGGUCCCAUGAGUUUUUCUUCAAGUUCGAGUUUUUUCACGUAAAUCUCGGUGUGCUUUUUAUUUUCCACAUUUAUUUUUAUUGCAUCGAGAUUUGUGGUUUUUGGCCGUUCAACUAUUUACCCCCCUCUAGGUGAUAGAUACAAUCUAGAUAGAUCCUUGGGCUCCUCAAAUCUUUCAAUUGGUAUCAGAGCAGGGAUCUAGAUAUAUUGUUUUCGAAUGGCCGAAGGCGGUAACGUUAAUCGUCCACCACUCUUCGAUGGCACGAAUUAUGCCUAUUAGAAAGUUCGCAUGAGAGCUUUUCUAAUUGCAAUCGAUGAGCGUGUUUGAAAAGCUAUUGAAUUUGGUUGGGAGCACCCUACCGAAAUUGUCAAUAACGCUACCGUUCCUAAACCACGGAACAAGUGGAGAAAAGAUGAAAACGAGUCAUCUUCGUUUAACGGCAAGGGCAUAAAUGCUUUAUUUAAUGCAUUGUCACAAACGAAGUUUACUCGUGUUUCGGCAUGCGAAACGGCAAAAGAGAUUUGGGAUACUAUACAAGUUACGCAUGAAGGAACGAGCUUAGCAAAAGUCCAAAAAUUGCAAAUGCUCACUAGCAAGUUUGAUUCAAUUUCUAUGGAUGAAAAUGAGACCUUUACCGAGUACUAUACGCAUCUACAAGACGUUGUGAAUACGUGUGCUAACUUGGGAGAGAAAAUUCCAGAUUCAAAGGUUAUUAGAAAAAUUCUUCGAACUCUUCCGAAACGCUUUCAGGCAAAGGUUGCCGCGAUCGAAACGGUUAAGCAUUCGGACGAGAUGAAAGUCGAAGAAUUAGUAGGCGCUUUACAAACGUAUGAGAUGACUUUUCCUACUAAUCAAUCUUCUUCCAAAUCUUUCUCUAAAAGCACAGGGGUUGCAUUGAAAUCGACGAAAGAGGAAGACAAAGACUCGGAUUCCGACGGAGAUGUUUCUCUUGCCGACUUCGAACAUCAACUUGCGCUUCUCACGAAAAAGUUUCGCCGGAAUUUUCGAAAGAAGAACAAUUCGGACAAGGCUACAUCAUCUAAGCAACAAACGAUUUCUAAAUCUUCUACAUCUAAAGAAAAGAAACGGGCAAAGGCUUCGAAAGAAAAGGACGAAUUUGAAGGCGAAAUCCGAUGCUUCAAGUACAAAGGCUACGGUCACAUCGCAACGGAUUGUCCCUCAAAGAAAUCAUACACUAAGAAGGCUUUGCAAGUAAAGACGUGGGAUGAUGCAACUUCAAGCGAUUCAAGCUCGAGUGACGAAGAAAAGAUUGGAAAUCUUGCCUUAUUUGCUACAUCUACCUUACCCUCGUCUAGCGUUGUGUGUCUAUCCUCAAUUGCUACUAAUUCCAACAAUUCUCUUUCUUCACAUGAUUCUUCGAGCAACAAUGGCGAAAGUGAGGAGGAAUCAAACGACGACGAUAUAGCGGAAGCGUACAAUCAACUUUUCAUUGAAUCAAAGAAGAUGGCUAAAUUGAAUAAGAAGUUGAGACGUCGUUUGUUGGAUCUUGAGGAGGAAAACAACAACGCAAAGACUUUGAAUAAGGCUCUUGAGGAGGAAAGGGAUUCAAGCUUGAAGAAUAUUUCGGACCUCCAAGAGAAGCUUAAUGAAGCGGAAUCAACGAUCAAAUCAUAUAAAGAUAAGGUUGGAUUUUUGGAGCAACAAUUCGAGGAAUCGCACACAUCCAACAAGUCACUGACCAAUCAAGUUCGUCAACUUCAAUCCGACAUUCAACGAUUUUCUUCCGGAUCAAAGAAACUAGAUCAUAUGCUCGGAUUGGGUCAAACGAACAAGCUUGGACUUCGGCUAUGAACGGACAUACGUUGAGAAGGAUUUAAAUUCAACUUUUAAAGUCUCAACAACUUCGAAAGAGAAGGUGUGUCAUAAAUGUGGCAAGAAAGGACACAUUAAAAGGAAUUGCCCAAAUAAGGAAAAGAAGAAUCAAUCGGCAAUGUCUAAACCUCAAACAACAUCAUCUACAACUCGACUUCCCCCGCGGAAUCAUAAGAAAAAUCAAGUUAGUCGAGAACCUCAAAAGAAUCGGACUUCUAAUGCACAACGCCAAGUUCAUGCAAAACAGGUGCAUAAACCUCAACGACAAAUUCAACCGAAGCCUCAACCGAAGAAACCACCAACGGUUGAUUAAAAAUCUAAACAAACGGCACCAAACGUCGAGAAGCCGAGAAAACCAAAGAUCCGACAAGUUUGGAUCCGGAAAGGUGAUAUCUUUCCUUGCUCCUCGUCUUAGUCAUUUUGAUUUUUAGUGUAAUGCUUUGAUUGAUGCUUGUUGCAUAAUUUUAUUCUUUGCAUUACAUAUUUGAAUGAUUUUUGGUGCAUUGAAUUUUUGUUUAUUUAAAAAUCAUUUUGAGGAAAGGUUUUUAGGAAUUCAAAAUUUUCGAGAAAAGAGAUGAUUGAGAUCCAUGAUUUGGAGAGAGAAAUUUUUUAAAAAAAGGUGUUUGAACAGUGUUUAAUUCAUAUUAAUUAUCGGUUUUACUCCACUUUUUAUUAUUUUGACGAUAAUUUAAUAUAUGAUUUCUUAGUGCAUAUAUUCAUCAAAGCUUUGAAAUCAAAUUUGAUCUUUUGGUGAUUAGUUCAUCUUGGUUGUGAGUGUUGGAUAUGAUGAAUGGAUAUUCUCUAAUUGACUAAAAUUCGUCAAAAUUAUUUUCUACUGUGAGAUUGUCUAAUUUAGGGGGAGUUUGAAAUUGUUUAAAAAUAAAAAGAAAAAACUCCUAUAUUUAAAAGAUGUGAAAAGAGUUAUAUCCUAAAAGGAGUGUGAAAACUACCACCACAUGUAGGAAAGAGCUACCACUCUGGUCGUCCGGCAAGUGUGUGGAGCUACCACAUGAAAAUUAAUUGAAAAGCUGAAAAGGUUGGAAAAAGUUUAUAAAUAUUAAAAUUUUCGGAGUUAUAAGGUGGUAAGUUGAAAAGAUGCUCAAAGAGCCACCCCCGGUGCCAUAUUAGUUAAAUCUCUAUUUUGAAUGUGUUGCGACAAAUUGGUGUCAAUUUUGUUGAAUUUCUAAAAAUCAUUUUUCAUCAACUUACAUCUUGAUGGUUUUGAAUCAUUAAAUUAUUUUUGAUAUUGAAAUUUUGAUGUUUCGAUGUGUUUUGAAAUUUUAUAAUAUCUUAUUUUCAUUAUAAUGAUUUUUGGAGUAAAAGCCUUAAUUAUAUGAAUUUAAUUUAAAUUUGAUGGGUUUUUAAAGGAUAUUUUUUGAAAAUUUUUUUUCACAUUUUGGUCCUUGUACCGGUACAAGAAACCGUGUUCCGGUACAAGGACUGCGGCUGAGCGGAAUAUAACCGGGUAUAACGCUUCGAUCUCUCUCAAAUCUCAACCUUUUUCAAAAAUUUUUGUUCCUGAGAGCUCCAGCGACUCUUCUUCAACCGUUCUACACGUUUUCCUCUUGGAUUUGUAAGUUUUUAGCAUCAAAUUUGUGAGUUUUAUCCCGAUUUUGCUAUUUUCACUGUUUUUGCGGGAUAAGGGUUUGAUCUCUGUUCUAAUCCGUUUUUGAUGCAAUUUUUUGCUAUAGAUCAGUGUCUUAGGCUAUUACCUUGCUUGUAGAACACUUGAACAACAUCAAAACAAGUUAUUUUUCGCUGAUCUAAGAUUUAUGAUCUAAUAUGCAUGUAAUUUCGGGAUUUUUCAAAAAGUUCGAUUUUUGCUGAAAUUUUUUGCAUGAUCUGGUUAGAAAUAGCAUUUGUAUGCAUUCUAAUGUUAUUAGAAAUUUUUUCGCUAUUUUUACAGAUUUUUCCAAAAAGUUUGUUCAUGUAUGCAAUUUUUUUUGAUAUAGGAAAAUGGCGUUUUUGCUCGUAUUGGUGUUGUUGGUGCUAAUGGCUGGGAGACGGAGCCGUGGUGGUGGUAGAGGUCGUCAUGGGGUUUCUAAAAGGACACGCACAACUGAAGAAGCAUCCGGGUCUGAUCCGGAUUAUCAGGCGAGCUCCCCAGAAGAACUUGAAGAACCUAUUGCUCGACUUGACAAAGGCAAAGGAAUAGCUGGCGAAUCAUCUCAUGGUGGUGGUUCUCGUACUCGUGAGGGACGUACAAAACAAGUUGCAGAUGUCCCUCCAGCACGGCAAAGGUUGUUUGCGUCGAAGUCGUGCAUAGCUGAACGCUUUGUGAACUUUAAUGACCUGGUUCGGGAUGUUCCUGAUUUUGGUCGACUGCUACAGCGUACACCUAUUGAGCCAGUUGGACGGGUCCCGGCCAAGGCUCCUUUCUAUGUAGAACUCAUUCGGGAGUUCUAUAUGAAUGGAAAGGUACUUGCUGAAGAUGAUGAAACAGGCACUUUUAUUUUUGAGACUAUUGUGCGAAAGAAGAGAUUCCCAGUUACCCCCUAGAGCUUGGGAAUGCAUGUGGACACUACAGGUCUUCUCUAUACGUCAGGAGGAUUCCAAGCAUCAACUCACAUGGAUAUCAUUCUUGGAGCUAUAUGCAAAGCCGGUGUUUACAUGACUCAUGGUUACAUUGAAUCCAAGGAUUUAUUACCUGAGUAUCACUUGCUAUCCUUGGUUAUGAGCUAUAAUGUUCAACCCACCAUUGGCACAAAGAGGAUCCGUUGGGAGAGAUUAGUGUUGCUAUAUCUUCUUGGUCAUCCCGAACAGGCUCAUGGAUUGAACAUCAACAUUCCAUUUCUGAUCUGGCAAAGGAUGAUACACGUGAUUCAGGGUGCCACUCGACAGGAUCUACUUCCAUUCCCUGUUAUGAUUACAAGGAUUCUUCAAGCAAAUGGAGUAGAUACAUCUUGUGACAAGUAUGAUGUUGGCCUUGGGCCUAUUGACUCAGUGACUUGGGCUAAGUCGGUUAGCACUCUCAAGUCAUUCCAUAAGACCAAAGGGCCACCUCCUAAAGCAUCUAGCCCAGCACCUCCACCAAGAGCAGCUUCUAGCUCUGCUCCUCCACCUCCAUCCCAAGGGAGUUAUGAUACUUCAUCUAGUUCGGGGGGAGCGACGACCUUGGAAUCAGUUAAGGAGGAUUUGCGAAAAUUAAAGAAAAAGGUGAACAAUAUUGGGAGAAAAGUUGAGUCAGGCAUCAAGAAGUUUGAAUUAAGUAUCAAAAGAUUGAUGGAUAAGAUGGGGUGUCGACAUGAUGAUAUUUGGGAACCUACUCCAUCUUCUGCCUCGUAUCAGCGGUCAUCUUCACGACAUCCUCUCAUUCCACCAUCUAGUAAUGCUCUUGAGGCUGGGGGUUUUGGAGCUGGUGCUGGAGAUGAUGAUGAUGGUGACGAGGACACGGAGUGAUUUCUUCGUCGAGCUUAGUCUCUUUCUUUCACUACAUUUGUUGUUUAGGACCAUGUUUUAGAUUUGCUUGCUUAUCUUUCUGUAGUAUGUUUUUACUUUCGUUUUAGGCCUGUAACUAUGACUAGACUACUUUUGUACUUUCUAGUAUGUUUUCUCUCUCUAUUUGUUUUAUUUUGGCAAUUUUUGACAAAAAGGGGGAGAGCGUAGAUGAAGAGAGAGAGCGUGGAUGAACAGGCAAGCAUGGAUGAACAAGCAUUGAACUAAAGCAGAGGAUGAUAAGGUCAAAAACAAAGGUAGAGAUAUGAACAAAGGGGGAGAAGGAAAUCAAGACUUCAAGACUCCUAGUUGCGUCUAAGUCAUAGAGUCUGUUUUAGGAGUUUUUAAUGUAAUUUUGAUUCUCAAUUUGUAUUUGGACUACAUGGGAGGGAUUCAAUGUUUUGGUGAUGACAUUGAACUUCGUUUUUUUCUUUAAAUUGUAAUUUGUGAGUUUGUGUGUGUUUUGUCACGAAAUUGCCAAAGGGGAAGAUUGUUAGGUCCUAUGUGUUAGCAAGUUUCGUGGGUCGAGUCGGAGUCUUGAAGAAGUCCGGAGCGUAGUAUUGAAGAUCGAAAAAUCCAAGACUUCGAAGAAUUGGAAAGGACGCAAAACACGCAAAACAUGAAUCACGAUGCUUAGGUAAGCUUUAAAUCUUGUUUAUGGUGAUUCAUACUUAAUUAUAGAUUUUAGAAUCAUGUUUUCAAGUUGUAAUUGAUUAGAAAGUUUCUAAGAGCUUGUAAAACCUAAUAUGCAUGUAUUUUCGGGAUUUUUCAAAAAGUUUAAUUUUUGCUGAAAUUUUUUGCAUGAUCUAGUUAGAAAUAGCAUUUGUAUGCAUUCUAAUGUUAUUAGAAAUUUUUUCGCUAUUUUUACAGAUUUUUUCAAAAAUUUUGUUCAUGUAUGCAAUUUUUUUGAUAUAGGAAAAUGACGUUUUUACUCGUAUUGGUGUUGUUGGUGCUAAUGGCUGGGAGACGGAGCCGUGGUGGUGGUAGGGGUCGUCAUGGGGUUUCUAAAAGGACACGCACAACUGAAGAAGCAUCCGGGUCUGAUCCGGAUUAUCAGGCGAGCUCCCCAGAAGAACUUGAAGAACCUAUUGCUCGACUUGACAAAGGCAAAGGAAUAGCUGGCGAAUCAUCUCAUGGUGGUGGUUCUCGUACUCGUGAGGGACGUACAAAACAAGUUGCAGAUGUCCCUCCAGCACGGCAAAGGUUGUUUGCGUCGAAGUCGUGCAUAGCUGAACGCUUUGUGAACUUUAAUGACCUGGUUCGGGAUGUUCCUGAUUUUGGUCGACUGCUACAGCGUACACCUAUUGAGCCAGUUGGACGGGUCCCGGCCAAGGCUCCUUUCUAUGUAGAACUCAUUCGGGAGUUCUAUAUGAAUGGAAAGGUACUUGCUGAAGAUGAUGAAACAGGCACUUUUAUUUUUGAGACUAUUGUGCGAAAGAAGAGAUUCCCAGUUACCCCCUAGAGCUUGGGAAUGCAUGUGGACACUACAGGUCUUCUCUAUACGUCAGGAGGAUUCCAAGCAUCAACUCACAUGGAUAUCAUUCUUGGAGCUAUAUGCAAAGCCGGUGUUUACAUGACUCAUGGUUACAUUGAAUCCAAGGAUUUAUUACCUGAGUAUCACUUGCUAUCCUUGGUUAUGAGCUAUAAUGUUCAACCCACCAUUGGCACAAAGAGGAUCCGUUGGGAGAGAUUAGUGUUGCUAUAUCUUCUUGGUCAUCCCGAACAGGCUCAUGGAUUGAACAUCAACAUUCCAUUUCUGAUCUGGCAAAGGAUGAUACACGUGAUUCAGGGUGCCACUCGACAGGAUCUACUUCCAUUCCCUGUUAUGAUUACAAGGAUUCUUCAAGCAAAUGGAGUAGAUACAUCUUGUGACAAGUAUGAUGUUGGCCUUGGGCCUAUUGACUCAGUGACUUGGGCUAAGUCGGUUAGCACUCUCAAGUCAUUCCAUAAGACCAAAGGGCCACCUCCUAAAGCAUCUAGCCCAGCACCUCCACCAAGAGCAGCUUCUAGCUCUGCUCCUCCACCUCCAUCCCAAGGGAGUUAUGAUACUUCAUCUAGUUCGGGGGGAGCGACGACCUUGGAAUCAGUUAAGGAGGAUUUGCGAAAAUUAAAGAAAAAGUUGAACAAUAUUGGGAGAAAAGUUGAGUCAGGCAUCAAGAAGUUUGAAUUAAGUAUCAAAAGAUUGAUGGAUAAGAUGGGGUGUCGACAUGAUGAUAUUUGGGAACCUACUCCAUCUUCUGCCUCGUAUCAGCGGUCAUCUUCACGACAUCCUCUCAUUCCACCAUCUAGUAAUGCUCUUGAGGCUGGGGGUUUUGGAGCUGGUGCUGGAGAUGAUGAUGAUGGUGACGAGGACACGGAGUGAUUUCUUCGUCGAGCUUAGUCUCUUUCUUUCACUACAUUUGUUGUUUAGGACCAUGUUUUAGAUUUGCUUGCUUAUCUUUCUGUAGUAUGUUUUUACUUUCGUUUUAGGCCUGUAACUAUGACUAGACUACUUUUGUACUUUCUAGUAUGUUUUCUCUCUCUAUUUGUUUUAUUUUGGCAAUUUUUGACAAAAAGGGGGAGAGCGUAGAUGAAGAGAGAGAGCGUGGAUGAACAGGCAAGCAUGGAUGAACAAGCAUUGAACUAAAGCAGAGGAUGAUAAGGUCAAAAACAAAGGUAGAGAUAUGAACAAAGGGGGAGAAGGAAAUCAAGACUUCAAGACUCCUAGUUGCGUCUAAGUCAUAGAGUCUGUUUUAGGAGUUUUUAAUGUAAUUUUGAUUCUCAAUUUGUAUUUGGACUACAUGGGAGGGAUUCAAUGUUUUGGUGAUGACAUUGAACUUCGUUUUUUUCUUUAAAUUGUAAUUUGUGAGUUUGUGUGUGUUUUGUCACGAAAUUGCCAAAGGGGAAGAUUGUUAGGUCCUAUGUGUUAGCAAGUUUCGUGGGUCGAGUCGGAGUCUUGAAGAAGUCCGGAGCGUAGUAUUGAAGAUCGAAAAAUCCAAGACUUCGAAGAAUUGGAAAGGACGCAAAACACGCAAAACAUGAAUCACGAUGCUUAGGUAAGCUUUAAAUCUUGUUUAUGGUGAUUCAUACUUAAUUAUAGAUUUUAGAAUCAUGUUUUCAAGUUGUAAUUGAUUAGAAAGUUUCUAAGAGCUUGUAAAACUCGAAACAAUGCAUUUUCAGCGAAAAUUGCAUUGUUGUACCGGUACAAGGGUUUAUCUGUUCCGGUACAGACAUCGGCCUUUGCUGCAGAGUUUGUUGAUGGUUGUUCCGGUACAACCAUCACGGCUGUACCAGUACAAGCCCUGUUCCGGAACAAGCUGCAGCCUAUUCAGGGUACAGAAGCUUCGUAGAAAAAUCUUCCGUCAUGCUGUACCCUGGACAGCUUUCCUUGUUCCGGUACAAGGUGCUUAUUUUGGAAAGAAACUUUCUAAUCCUACUCCAUUUUGAUUCUAAAGUCUAUAAAUAAACUAUUGGGGUUUUCUAACUGAUCAAGCAUCACGAAAAUACAUGUUUGAAAAACCCUAGAGGCUCGGAUUUCAUUUUAAACCUAUUUUCUACAAAUUAGCCUCUUUAGAUCAAAUCGAGAUAACGUUUUACAUUCGCUAUAUGUCGAUUUGAUCUAGUCUUCGCUUGGAGUUCUAUUCCCUGGUUUUCUACGAUACUCCUAAGCGAAGGAUCACCAUAAUCAUGAUGCUCUUCAUGAACGGCGUCGUGGAUUCGGCGUGAACAAAGGCGGUUCGUGGAUUCGGAUCGUUGGCUCGUGGAUUCGAGUGGCGUCGUGGAUUCGGCGUGAUUGAAGCUUCGUGGAUUCGAAGUGGAGGCGUUCGUGGAUUCGAACGUGAGGGCGUGGACAACCCGGAGGGUAGCGCGAAGAUUCAUAGGAGGUUAAGAGAGGUUGAGUCCGUGGAGUCGGUAAUCACCUUGUAAUCUUUUCUCUUAGUGAAUUAUUUUUUCGCGUGUUGGUCCCGUGGGUUUUUCUCCAAGUUGGAGUUUUCCCACGUAAAUCUCGGUGUGCUUUUUAUUUUCUGCAUUUAUUUUUAUUGCAUCGAGAUUUAUGGUUUUUGGCCGUUCACCUAUUCACCCCCCUCUAGGUGAUAGAUAUAAUCUAGAUAGAUCCUUGGGCUCC